rnacentral:rRNA from 1 species
GAUGAACGCUGGCGGCGUGCCUAAUACAUGCAAGUCGAGCGAACGGACGAGAAGCUUGCUUCUCUGAUGUUAGCGGCGGACGGGUGAGUAACACGUGGAUAACCUACCUAUAAGACUGGGAUAACUUCGGGAAACCGGAGCUAAUACCGGAUAAUAUUUUGAACCGCAUGGUUCAAAAGUGAAAGACGGUCUUGCUGUCACUUAUAGAUGGAUCCGCGCUGCAUUAGCUAGUUGGUAAGGUAACGGCUUACCAAGGCAACGAUGCAUAGCCGACCUGAGAGGGUGAUCGGCCACACUGGAACUGAGACACGGUCCAGACUCCUACGGGAGGCAGCAGUAGGGAAUCUUCCGCAAUGGGCGAAAGCCUGACGGAGCAACGCCGCGUGAGUGAUGAAGGUCUUCGGAUCGUAAAACUCUGUUAUCAGGGAAGAACAUAUGUGUAAGUAACUGUGCACAUCUUGACGGUACCUAAUCAGAAAGCCACGGCUAACUACGUGCCAGCAGCCGCGGUAAUACGUAGGUGGCAAGCGUUAUCCGGAAUUAUUGGGCGUGAAGCGCGCGUAGGCGGUUUUUUAAGUCUGAUGUGAAAGCCCACGGCUCAACCGUGGAGGGUCAUUGGAAACUGGAAAACUUGAGUGCAGAAGAGGAAAGUGGAAUUCCAUGUGUAGCGGUGAAAUGCGCAGAGAUAUGGAGGAACACCAGUGGCGAAGGCGACUUUCUGGUCUGUAACUGACGCUGAUGUGCGAAAGCGUGGGGAUCAAACAGGAUUAGAUACCCUGGUAGUCCACGCCGUAAACGAUGAGUGCUAAGUGUUAGGGGGUUUCCGCCCCUUAGUGCUGCAGCUAACGCAUUAAGCACUCCGCCUGGGGAGUACGACCGCAAGGUUGAAACUCAAAGGAAUUGACGGGGACCCGCACAAGCGGUGGAGCAUGUGGUUUAAUUCGAAGCAACGCGAAGAACCUUACCAAAUCUUGACAUCCUUUGACAACUCUAGAGAUAGAGCUUUCCCCUUCGGGGGACAAAGUGACAGGUGGUGCAUGGUUGUCGUCAGCUCGUGUCGUGAGAUGUUGGGUUAAGUCCCGCAACGAGCGCAACCCUUAAGCUUAGUUGCCAUCAUUAAGUUGGGCACUCUAAGUUGACUGCCGGUGACAAACCGGAGGAAGGUGGGGAUGACGUCAAAUCAUCAUGCCCCUUAUGAUUUGGGCUACACACGUGCUACAAUGGACAAUACAAAGGGCAGCGAAACCGCGAGGUCAAGCAAAUCCCAUAAAGUUGUUCUCAGUUCGGAUUGUAGUCUGCAACUCGACUACAUGAAGCUGGAAUCGCUAGUAAUCGUAGAUCAGCAUGCUACGGUGAAUACGUUCCCGGGUCU